rnacentral:rRNA from 1 species
AGAGUUUGAUCCUGGCUCAGGAUGAACGCUGGCGGCGUGCUUAACACAUGCAAGUCGAACGGACUCAUAUUGAAACCUAGUGAUUUAUGAGUUAGUGGCGGACGGGUGAGUAACGCGUGGAAAACCUGCCGUAUACUGGGGGAUAACACUUAGAAAUAGGUGCUAAUACCGCAUAAGCGCACAGCUUCGCAUGAAGUGGUGUGAAAAACUCUGGUGGUAUACGAUGGUUCCGCGUCUGAUUAGCUUGUUGGUGGGGUAAUGGCUCACCAAGGCGACGAUCAGUAGCCGGCCUGAGAGGGUGAACGGCCACAUUGGGACUGAGACACGGCCCAAACUCCUACGGGAGGCAGCAGUGGGGAAUAUUGCACAAUGGGGGAAACCCUGAUGCAGCGACGCCGCGUGAGUGAAGAAGUAUUUCGGUAUGUAAAGCUCUAUCAGCAGGGAAGAAAAUGACGGUACCUGAUUAAGAAGCCCCGGCUAACUACGUG